rnacentral:rRNA from 1 species
UUGUCCGGAUUUACUGGGUGUAAAGGGCGUGCAGCCGGGUCUGCAAGUCAGAUGUGAAAUCCAUGGGCUCAACCCAUGAACUGCAUUUGAAACUGAAGAUCUUGAGUGUCGGAGGGGCAAUCGGAAUUCCUAGUGUAGCGGUGAAAUGCGUAGAUAUUAGGAGGAACACCAGUGGCGAAGGCGGAUUGCUGGACGAUAACUGACGGUGAGGCGCGAAAGUGUGGGGAGCAAACAGGAUUAGAUACCCUGGUAGUCCACACUGUAAACGAUGAAUACUAGGUGUGCGGGGACUGACCCCCUGCGUGCCGCAGUAAACACAAUAAGUAUUCCACCUGGGGAGUACGAUCGCAAGGUUGAAACUCAA